UACAGAGGUCCCAAGCGUUGUUCGGAUUCACUGGGCGUAAAGGGUGCGUAGGUGGCCAGGUAAGUUCGGUGUGAAAGCUCGGAGCUUAACUCCGAAAUGGCAUUGAAUACUAUCUGGCUAGAGGGUCGGAGGGGAGACUGGAAUUCUCGGUGUAGCAGUGAAAUGCGUAGAUAUCGAGAGGAACACCAGUGGCGAAGGCGACUACCUGGCCUGUUCUUGACGCUGAGGCGCGAAAGCUAGGGGAGCAAACGGG
rnacentral:rRNA from 1 species